UACGUAGGGUGCAAGCGUUGUCCGGAAUUAUUGGGCGGAAAGGGCUCGUAGGCGGUUUGUCGCGUCGGGAGUGAAAACUCAGGGCUUAACCCUGAGCCUGCUUCCGAUACGGGCAGACUAGAGGUAUGCAGGGGAGAACGGAAUUCCUGGUGUAGCGGUGAAAUGCGCAGAUAUCAGGAGGAACACCGGUGGCGAAGGCGGUUCUCUGGGCAUUACCUGACGCUGAGGAGCGAAAGUGUGGGGAGCGAACAGG
rnacentral:rRNA from 1 species